rnacentral:rRNA from 1 species
AGUUUGAUCCUGGCUCAGGGUUAACGCUAGCGGUGCGCCUAACACAUGCAAGUCGAGCGGUAUUGGUAUUUUAAAGAUUUUCGGAUUGAUAAAAUAUUGAGAGAGCGGCGAACGGGUGAGUAACACGUUGGUACAUGCCCCCAAGUCAGGGAUAGCCAGAAGAAAUUCUGAUUAAUACCGGAUAGUCUCUUUGGAGUAAAAAUUUAUUGCUUGGGGAGUGGCCUGCGUUCUAUCAGCUAGUUGGUGAGGUAAUAGCUCACCAAGGCUAUGACGGAUACUUGGUCUGAGAGGAUGAUCAGGCACAAUGGAACUGAGACACGGUCCAUACUCAGCCAUGCCGCGUGUGUGAAGAAGGCCUUCGGGUUGUAAAGCACUUUAAGCGAGGAGGAAGGUCUUUGAAUUAAUACUUCAAAGAAUUGACGUUACUCGCAGAAUAAGCACCGGCUAACUCUGUGCCAGCAGCCGCGGUAAUACAGAGGGUGCAAGCGUUAAUCGGAAUUACUGGGCGUAAAGGGUGCGCAGGCGGUUUUGUAAGACAGAUGUGAAAUCCCCGGGCUUAACCUGGGAAACUGCGUUUGUGACUGCAAGGCUAGAGUACGGCAGAGGGGGGUGGAAUUCCGCGUGUAGCAGUGAAAUGCGUAGAUAUGCGGAGGAACACCGAUGGCGAAGGCAACCCCCUGGGCCUGUACUGACGCUCAUGCACGAAAGCGUGGGGAGCAAACAGGAUUAGAUACCCUGGUAGUCCAAUCCCGGGGCCAUGGCGG